AUUGAACGCUGGCGGCAUGCUUUACACAUGCAAGUCGAACGGCAGCGCGGGCUUCGGCCUGGCGGCGAGUGGCGAACGGGUGAGUAGUACAUCGGAACGUGCCCAGCAGUGUGUGAUAGCUCGGCGAAAGCCGGAUUAAUACCGCAUACGAGCUUACGGUGAAAGCGGGGGAUCUUCGGACCUCCCGCCCUUGCUGCGUCCAAUGGGAGGAUGUCGGAUUAGUUAGUUGGUGGGGUAAAGGCCCACCAAGGCGACGAUCCGGAGCUGGUCUGAGAGGAUGAACAGCCACACUGGGACUGAGACACGGCCCAGACUCCUACGGGAGGCAGCAGUGGGGAAUUUUGGACAAUGGGCGAAAGCCUGAUCCAGCAAUGCCGCGUGUGUGAUGAAGGCCUUCGGGUUGUAAAGCCCUUUUGGCGGGAAAGAAAAGGACUGUGUCAAUACCACGGUUCGAUGACGGUACCCGAAGAAUAAGCACCGGCUAACUACGUG
rnacentral:rRNA from 1 species